rnacentral:rRNA from 1 species
UACAGAGGGUGCGAGCGUUGUUCGGAAUUACUGGGCGUAAAGCGCGCGCAGGCGGUCCUUUAAGUCUGAUGUGAAAGCCCACGGCUCAACCGUGGAGGGUCAUUGGAAACUGGGGGACUUGAGUACAGAAGAGAAGAGUGGAAUUCCACGUGUAGCGGUGAAAUGCGUAGAGAUGUGGAGGAACACCAGUGGCGAAGGCGACUCUUUGGUCUGUAACUGACGCUGAGGCGCGAAAGCGUGGGGAGCAAACAGG